rnacentral:lncRNA from 1 species
GACUCACUGGCUCAUCCACUUUGGCUUUUGUGUGGUGUCUUCACUGAGUAAAGCCAAGACAGAGGAAUGGAACCACAGUCUCCUACUGAGUCCACAUCGUCACCAGUGCAAACACAUGUAGCAAAGGAUUUCAGUUUUACUACUUCAGUCAGUAGAGAAACCAACUGGGGAUAAGUUUGAAGGAAGUGCUGCUGUGAUUCUGAUCUUAGAUGCCUUCUUGAAGUCAACCACAUAAGCAGGUAACUUUCUGUUCCUGCUGAUGUAAUUUUUUUUUUGUUUUCCACAUACCCUUUAUGGUUCUAUUAAUAGCUGCGGUCUCAGAUGCUCAAACGUGGCCAGUGUAAAUCAAUGUCUUCCUGCUGCCUGCUGACGAAGAUGGAGAACUCCCAGCUACCCAGGCAGCACCAUGUCUGCCUAUAUGCUGCAAUGCUUCCCACCAUGGAAACAGUGGACUAAACUGUGAACUGUAAACCAGCCCCAAUUAAAUGUUUUCUUU